rnacentral:rRNA from 1 species
UACGGAGGGUGCAAGCGUUAUCCGGAUUUAUUGGGUUUAAAGGGUGCGUAGGCGGCUUUUUAAGUCAGUGGUGAAAUCCUAGUGCUUAACACUAGAACCGCCAUUGAAACUAAAAAGCUCGAGUCAAGGAGAGGUAAGCAGAAUUUAUGGUGUAGCAGUGAAAUGCUUAGAUAUCAUAAGGAAUACCGAUAGCGAAGGCAGCUUACUGGCCUUGUACUGACGCUGAGGCACGAAAGCGUGGGGAGCAAACAGG